GACAGAGGGUGCAAACGUUGCUCGGAAUUACUGGGCGUAAAGCGCGUGUAGGCGGACCAACAAGUCAGGCGUGAAAUCCCUGGGCUCAACCCAGGAACUGCACCUGAAACUGUCGGUCUUGAGUGGUGGAGAGGGAAGCAGAAUUCCUGGUGUAGAGGUGAAAUUCGUAGAUAUCAGGAGGAACACCGGUGGCGAAGGCGGCUUCCUGGACAAUAACUGACGCUGAGACGCGAAAGCGUGGGGAGCAAACAGG
rnacentral:rRNA from 1 species